UACGUAGGAUGCAAGCGUUGUCCGGAAUUACUGGGCGUAAAGGGCGAGUAGGCGGCCACUCAAGUCAGAUGUGAAAUAGCCCGGCUUAACCGGGAGGGGUCAUUUGAAACUGAGUAGCUAGAGUGCAGGAGAGGCUAGCGGAAUUCCUGGUGUAGCGGUGGAAUGCGCAGAUAUCAGGAGGAACACCGGUGGCGAAGGCGGGUCUCUGGGCCGUAACUGACGCUGAGGAGCGAAAGCAUGGGGAGCGAACAGG
rnacentral:rRNA from 1 species